GCCCGGUCCUGUUAUGAGGCAUAUGAGGCCCAUGCCUCAGGCCCAAUAAUUUAAGGGGCCUCUGAAUUCCAUCCCCACCCCCUUCCUUAAAAAUGGAACAACAGAUUUCUUGUCAUUGGUAUCCACUGUCGUUCGGCUCCUAGUCUCCUGCAAAUCAAAAUCCAAAUUAUUGAACAACCCAAACUGCCAGACGAUGUUACAAGGACAAAAGGCGAUCUUCUCACUUCUUCAAGGGCGGUCCAACUGCCCCUACCUACAUUAAUCAGAUUUGUGUUGUCGGGUUUGUGGUUUUGACAUUCUGUUCAUAGGAAUUAUGGGGUUUUCCUUUUUGGUGAUUUAAUUGAUUCUUAGUUGUGGUUUCUGAAUUAAUGCUUAGUAAUGGUGAUUAUAUGAACAUUAUACUAAAUAAAACUUUGGAAUAAAUAAUUGGCCUUUGUUUCUCAAAAUUUUGUGGAGGAAUAAAUAAUAAAUCAUUAGACUUUGAAUUUAGAUGCGUUUCUUGUUCUCUUGCCUAGUCAGAAUUCCCAAUCCCAUAUGUGUUAUUCAGGACUACAUAAUAGGAAUCUCAAACUAAUUUCAAAGACAAUUCCUCUGCAAAAUUAUACAGGAACCAGGAAUGAUAUAUCUGCCUGUUGAUGUUUCCACAGCCUUGCUACACUUUUCAACUAUUGGAGAAAUCACCAAAUUCAUUUGUUGUUUAAUGUUGUUCACUUUGCAACUAUUUUUUUCCUCCAUAAACUUAAGAUUUUAAUAAUCUUGUUCUUUAACGUUGUUAAAUAUAUCAUAUGAAAAACUAUGAUCCCUUCUCAUUUAGGCUUUUUAGCUUUUUCCCUCUAAAUAAUGAAGGUCAUAUAUAUUCUUUAUUUCUUUUAUUAUUCUGUUCGAUUGGCCCGACAUUUUGGUAUGAGUUCACCUUUGAAAUUUCUUGUCAAAUUCAAGUAGAAGUGUGUCAAUUACCUUUACAUGAAUGUUAUCUGAAGUGUGAACUUGGAUUUUAAUUUUCGAACAAUGACUUUCAUUAAUUUUUAGAAACUUAUUCUCAUUGGUUGUUAUGGUUGCUGUUAAAUUUUAAUUUUAGGAUUGUGAGUUGCGACGGUGGAAUUCUCAAAGUAUUGAAUUAUCAUUUCAUAAUUUUUGCUCAUGCCCUACUUCUUAGGUAAGCAAUGACUUGCCCCUGCUUAUUUAUUAAGAAAUGUUUGAAACAUGGUCGGCUUAUAUUAUUUUGGCCUUUUCGGCUUAUAUGAUUACAUUGCGGUAUUGUACCCCUGUCGGGUUAUAUUGACUUUUAUUAGCUUUCAACUUGUCAAUGUAAAUGAAAUAGAUGAAAAGGAAGAAGAUAAUGUUCAACGUAAAAAUUUGGAAGACUGCCUACUCUGUUAGUAGAUUAUAAUAAAAAAUUUAUAACACAUUUUUUUUUUUUUGUUUAACGUUACAUUUUAAGUUAACAAUUGGUUCCAUGAUACGCUUAUAAAUUUUGCAUGUAUAAUACAAUUUUAGGGACCUAAUUUAUGAAGUUUGCCUCAGGCCUGACCGGCAUUGAGUCGCAGCUCAAUAAGAAGAAAACAUAGGUUAGAGUUUUCAAUUGCACAAAUUUAGGCUUUGAUAUCAUGAAAAGAAUAUAAACCAUAAUGAUACCAAUUUGAUUGAACAAGUAUAGAGAGGAAAACGAUGAUAAAGAACUAAGAUAGACUGAGUAAUGACGGCUUCAUUGAGCCACCAAAGUUAGGGUAAAAUAUGAGAUAAUGAGUUUAUAUACUACAAAAUAUAGGAAGAAGCAAAAGACCAAACUACCCUUACACUAAUAAGUUUAUUACAUUAACACGGAUGAAACCACAAUUCCUACAAAUUCUUUUAGGCAUCCUAAAAUGUAAAUUUCGACAUUUAUUAGAAAAUCUCCCACCAAUCCUCCAGCAUUUUAAGAAAAUGUUAUUUUGAAAAAAUCUCUCAUACAUACAUACAAAAAUUGCAAAUUGAUAAAGAUGUCUUUGGACUUGAACCCAACUUUAAAAAGGAUGUUGUUUUAAAAAAUCUCUCAUUAUACUUGCCAAGUUUACAAAUAGAUGAAGGCGUAUUUUGGACAUGAUACAUACUUAGCAAAAAUGUGUCACGUGUUAACUAAGGUGACAUGGUAGCUAGGCUUCAAACUAACAGUCCCCUACCAUUAAACAUGGAGUUCUCCAUGCACUAACGUGAACAUAUUUUUGGUGGCAUAAAGUUGACACAUGAAUAUUCAUGCAAUGGUAAUAAAGGUUUUGGUGGUUGAAGAGACUAUUUCAGUUAUGGUUUAGGGCUAACAGGCCAUGUGUCCUAUAUUUUGGUUUAAUUCGUGAAUAUCUUAAUUAGCUUGCUAAAUAACUUUGAGAAUGCCAGCAUAUCUAGAUAUUCUAUAGGCAUGUCUCUCUAUAAGUCUAUUAAGUGCUAGAUAGCUCAACCUCUCUUCCCAUGAUACGCUAACAAAAAACCUUUUGCAUUAGGAUUUCGAUUAAGUCAUAAAAAGUUCUUUACUCAUUGAACCUAAGACCUUGAUGUUUCAAGUCUUUGGUUGAAUUUCCGUAAUUGGUGAUUAUUAAUUGGCAACAAUCCAAAUCCCUUGUAAGGCCUUUCUUCAAAGAAUCCACCAAGUUUUUUCUUGACUUGACUUGAUCUAUGGUACUUGUACCAUCCAAAAUAAGUUAUCUUAUCAAAUAUCGACAUCAUAUAACGAUGAAAUGUUGUAUGACCUUUCCAUAAUCCAAACAAUAUCCUCAUGCAAGCAAAUGUGCCAUAUAGCAAGUGAAUAUAGUCUUCUCCUGACCUUCUGUACUAUGGGAAUUUGGUACCCCGAAUAACCAUCAAUAAAAUAGUAGUGAGAGUGAUCGAUAAGCCUUUCAAACAUCUAAUCAAUAAUAAGAAGAGAAGAAUGAUCAUUCCUAGUUGCCUUUAGUAGUCUCGUAGAGAAAAUGGCAAUCUUUAUUUUAUUCCACGGGUAUCUUAGCUGAGUAAUGAGGAUCUUAUUCUCUUAGCAAAUCUAGAAAUCAAUCUAACAAAGUAAUGGAAAAGGAUUUAUAAAGACGACCUUUUGUGGUGGGAUGUGGGCUGCAAAAUAUGGAUGAAAGAAAAGGAGGCCUUCUUUCAGUCAGUCCAAUUGACUUUGUCCUUCUUUGACAAUUUCUUCAAAAAUACUUCGGUUUAAUAUUUAAUUCAAAAUUUUCUGAUUCUCAUAUGUAAGAAUUUCCUGUUAAAUUCCUGGCCUGAUGAAAAUUCUUUUGGAUUCCAGCUUAAAAAACUCAUGUCAACCUCACAUUCAUCAUCCGAUUAAGAAUAAGAAAUGUACAUAGCCCAUGUAUAUAGCUACUAACAUAGGUUUUACAAUCCUAAGUUUAGUAUGCUUGUCAUCAUAUAUUUGAGUUACUUAAAAUAUAAAGCAUAUUUUUCGUCAGAAACCUAUGUCCUUGGUCCUCCCAUUGGUAUAAAAAUGUAAAACCCAUACAUAAAAAGACAAAUUUUGUAAGAAACGAAGAGGCUGUGUACCAUUUUUGGAAAUCUGAAUUUUGUGCUUUGUGUAUGUUCUCUUUCCCGUAUUUUCUGUUGGAAGAAUUUUGUGAAUAGUGACGCCGAAAUAAGUAUAAUGAUGGUGACAAAGCCGAGGCAAGAGUUGGACUCUUUGUUCUUAAGUCGAAUUUGCCCCGCAACGGUGCCUACGGAUUUCGGCAAUCGACUCCCAAGAUACAACGGCUACACCUGUGUUUGUAGCACUCCAAAACACAAGUACAACGAACCAAAUGUAGGCUUAUGUACUCCAAGGAUGAAAUGAAAGAAAAUCAAAAUAAAUGAAAUGAUUUUGAUUUUGGAUAGAAGAGAGGAUGAGAGACGUUUUUGCAUAUCAAACUGUGAGGAAUAGGACACCCAAAGGGUCCUAUUUAUAGACCAUGAAGGGGUGUGGACGAAAUGGUUGAGGCCAAACCAUGCACCCUUUCCACACAAUGCACCUUUAUGAAAAGGUGUCUAUUCACUAAUGGUUGAGGCCUUUUUCGUAAUUUCUCAUUCAUCCGAUAUUGAUUUUCGAAAUGCCAAAAACGGAUUGAGUCGAGCUUUUGAGUAUUUGGCCGAAUUUGAUACGAACUUUAAUCGAUUUUCAAUUCUCAAUUUAUUUAACCAAUAUCCAACAUUUUCCUCUCUUGAUUUACUAUAAAUUCCAAGCUUCACUGAUAAAGAAAACACUAUAAUCUUACCCCCUGGUACUGUUAACCAUCAUUGUUACUUGUUUUGUACUUCUUUCUUUUAUAUUUGCACCUUGUGCUUCUGAUCAAUUACCAGUGAAGAAUCGAAAAAGGUAAAGAAUUUAUCCUUUUUUUUGUUACGAUUUGUCUUCAACGGAAACUCUGCGCAAGCAAUGGUGGACGAAACUUCAGUCUUUUUAGUUUGAUGCAUAAUAUUGUGAGUUUUUUAAAAUGUGCAGCUCAUGAUGCAGCCCAACUUAAUCUUCUUCCAUUGCGGCAGCAGAAGCUCAAACUCAAUGAAGAGGAAUUGUACGAUUUUCUUCAUACCAUAUGAAAGAUUAAUUCAUUCUUCAUCAUGAAUGCAUGUGUUUCGCGCGAGUUAGUCGCUAACAAUUAAAAAGGAUCAGACGAUUGUGUAAGGGACAAACCUCUUGAGACAAAGUCCCAAAAAGGGGUGUUCUUUUAUUGGCGAUGACUUUACAAUUGGAAAUUAAAAACAACGUGCCUCCAAGGGACGCAAGCAUACGAGUUAUUGAAAGAAAAGUGUUUAAGUCUAAGCUAAAGAAAUGAAAAUUACAUGUUCUCUGUUCGAGAGUUUUUGAUUCGGUCCUUUGCUUCAAUGUCCUUUCUCCCUUUUAUACUUCAUGGACGAUCUCUUUGUGAUCAACCGCUCUAAUGAUCGUCCUAUAACUACCUACUUUCAUCGUAAUGGCCAACUUGUCAUGAAAACUUCCUUUUUUAACUGCUGCCAUUACUCUUCAUCGUUCAACCGCUUUCGAUUGAAUUCCUUGAAUCGUGGAACGUGAUAGGGUUGCUUUAAUAACUGCUUUGAUAACUGCACUUCUUGAUAACCACGACACUUUAUGUUUGUUAAGACCUUGGGCGACUUGAAGGUUUGGACGAGAAUAGAGUAACAGCUCUGGACGACUGUAUGACACUUCAUUCGCUCAGAUUCUGGGCGACUUGCAAAUUUGGGCGAUGGCAUUACCGCGUUCUUGGGCCUCCUUAUUCGGGCCUUCAUCUUGAUUUGUUUAAUUGUGCUUCGUUCUUUGGGUUAUCUGAUUUGGGGAUCCUCCAAUUGGGCUUCACUUUUUGGGCCGCUUGAUUUGGGCUGAAUUUUUAUGUGUCAACAGCAUGAACAUUUAUUUAUGAUAAAUCAUAGCUCCAUAUAAAUCCUAAAAUUAUAAUCUAGGAAUAGAAAAUUAUGGGAUGUUUUAAUAUCUUCGGUUUACACAGGUGAAAAGUGUAGAAGAGAGAUAUUUUGGACCAUACAAGAGGAAUAUGGAAGGUUCAUCAGGUAAGUUGAUUUUCAAGAACUUGCUGUAUGCCUCUUGUUACCAUUAGUGCAAAAUUAAGUUUUAACUAAAUUUUCACUACGAUCGAUUAGUUUUCCUUCCAUUAUGACUGAUGCACUUAACUAUUUUAUUCGUCAAACAACUUAAACUUUAAACGAAACAUUCAUAAAACUGGUUCACGUAAGGAAGAGCUGAUGCACUUUCAAAUGACAAAUUUGUCAUGUAGCCGUUGUUCAUAUCUAUUCCACGGCCAUAGCAUUCUAUUGAAACCCAUCCAGUCAGUUAAGACUAACGGCCUGCUUGGACUGCAUCUUGUUUUCAAGUUUUUAACACUUGUCCUUGAUAUUUAAAAAUUAAUUUUCCACCAAUUUCUUUUAUUUUCUUCGUCCAACGUGCUUUAUCUCACAAAACAUAAUACGAUCAAGUAGAUGCCGCAAGAAUGUGAGAAUAAACUGCAACAAAACCAAUAUUGCAUGUUCUCAUUAUAUUAUAAAUUUUCUUCUUUCAGGUAACAAACUACAUCGAAAAGAGAAAAUUUUGAAGCAUCCAGGAACAGUGGAAUGGAAAAAAUGGACUGAUCAAGGAGCCAAGAAAUCAGAAUGCCUCACGGUGGAUUAUGGUUGGGUUAGAUGACGUUAUCCAAUACACAACAAGAAUGUCCUAGUUGGUCCAUGAAAUAUGGGAUUAUCAUGUGUAUAAUCCUAGAUGUUUUGACACACAAUUUUUAAAAUUCAAAAAAGAAAAGAAAAAUCUAAGGGUCCGUUUGAUAGCAUUAAAUUCCAUGGAAAAUAUUAUAUCCAAGAAAUUCGUUUUCUACUUUGGCUGUUUAAUACGAAAGUGAAAAUGAAGUUCGGAUUCCAAGGUACAAACACUUAAAAGAAUGUUUUUGGUCAAUUAAGUGGAAAUCGAAUUCUCAUAAUUUUGAUGGUUUUUUCUUUUCUAAUUUACAUAGAAUUGAUUUGUCUUUUACCAUUUUUGCAAUCAAACGGACCCUAAGUGUUAUUGUAAUUAUAUGGAAAUGAGGAAAUAUAUCUCCUUGUAGCUUUAUUAUGGCCAUUAUUAUCAUGCAAACAAAAGCUAAAUGUAGUUGCAAC
rnacentral:lncRNA from 1 species